rnacentral:rRNA from 1 species
UACCAGCACCCCGAGUGGUCGGGACGUUUAUUGGGCCUAAAGCCUCCGUAGCCGGUUCUACAAGUCUUCCGUUAAAUCCAACUGCUUAACAGAUGGGCUGCGGAAGAUACUAUAGAGCUAGGAGGCGGGAGAGGCAAGCGGUACUCGAUGGGUAGGGGUAAAAUCCGUUGAUCCAUUGAAGACCACCAGUGGCGAAGGCGGCUUGCCAGAACGCGCUCGACGGUGAGGGAUGAAAGCUGGGGGAGCAAACCGG